rnacentral:rRNA from 1 species
UACGUAGGGGGCUAGCGUUGUCCGGAAUCAUUGGGCGUAAAGCGCGUGUAGGCGGCCCGAUAAGUCCGCUGUGAAAGUCCGGGGCUCAACCUCGGAUCGGCCGUGGCGACUCGUGGGCUGGAGCACUGUAGAGGCGGGUGGAAUUCCGGGUGUAGCGGUGGAAUGCGUAGAGAUCAGGAGGAACACCCGUGGCGAAGGCGGCCCUCUGGCUCGACCCUGACGCUGAGGCGCGAAAGCGUGGGGAGCGAACGGG